rnacentral:rRNA from 1 species
UGCAGUCGAACGGAAUUUAGAAGCUUGCUUUUAAAUUUAGUGGCGAACGGGUGAGUAAUAUAUCGGAACGUAUCCAAUAAUGGGGGAUAACUAAUCGAAAGGUUGGCUAAUACCGCAUACGCCCUACGGGGGAAAGCUAGGGACCUUCGGGCCUGGCGUUAAUGGAGCGGCCGAUAUCAGAUUAGCUAGUUGGUGAGGUAAAGGCUCACCAAGGCGACGAUCUGUAGCUGGUCUGAGAGGACGACCAGCCACACUGGAACUGAGACACGGUCCAGACUCCUACGGGAGGCAGCAGUGGGGAAUUUUGGACAAUGGGCGAAAGCCUGAUCCAGCCAUUCCGCGUGAGUGAAGAAGGCCUUCGGGUUGUAAAGCUCUUUCGCAAGGGAAGAACACUUAGUUACUAAUAUUAACUGAGGUUGACGGUACCUUGAUAAGAAGCACCGGCUAACUACGUGCCAGCAGCCGCGGUAAUACGUAGGGUGCGAGCGUUAAUCGGAAUUACUGGGCGUAAAGCGUGCGCAGGCUGUUUUGUAAGUCAGAUGUGAAAUCCCUGAGCUCAACUUAGGAACUGCGUUUGAAACUACAAGACUAGAAUAUGUCAGAGGGGGGUAGAAUUCCACGUGUAGCAGUGAAAUGCGUAGAGAUGUGGAGGAAUACCAAUGGCGAANGCAGCCCCCUGGGAUAAUAUUGACGCUCAUGCACGAAAGCGUGGGGAGCAAACAGGAUUAGAUACCCUGNUAGUCCACGCCCUAAACGAUGUCUACUAGUUGUUGGUGGAGUAAAAUCCAUGAGUAACGCAGCUAACGCGUGAAGUANANCGCCNGGGGAGUACGGUCGCAAGAUUAAAACUCAAAUGAAUUNNACGGGGGCCCGCACANCGGUGGAUUAUGUGGNUUAAUUNNNAUGCAACGCGAAAAACCUUACCUGGCCUU